rnacentral:tRNA from 1 species
GGGGUUGUGGCUCAGUGGUAGAGCGCUCACCUAGAAUGUGCAAGGCGCUGGGUUCGAUUCUCAGCACCACG